rnacentral:tmRNA from 1 species
GGGGGCGAAUGGCUUCGACCGGAUCGUGGAAAGGCAGGUGGCAUGCCCAGGACGCCGGUUGGCCUGGUUAAUCAUCCGGCAAAGACCUAAGUGGCAACUACCAGUUGCGCAUGGCUGCCUAAUUAGGUAGCCCGUCCUUCCCAGGCCUCGCCUGCGGGCAGGGAAAGGGCGCUAGCAGCAGGCUGGUCAGGCCGGCAGUUCAGGAAGGCCUGGCGAGAUCUGUACUGGACUAGCCGAACGCAGGGCCUGUCGGUCGGCGCUGUGCAAGGCGAAGAUCAAUAGAACGACUAAGCAUGUAGAGGCCUGUCUUGAAGCAUCUUGGGACGCGGGUUCGAAUCCCGCCGCCUCCAA